rfam:Acidobacteria bacterium 13_1_20CM_4_56_7 13_1_20cm_4_scaffold_2696, whole genome shotgun sequence.
CAGUCGGACCGGACGGCCGCUUCCCGCGUCUUCGGGCGCGAGGAGAGGAAAGUCCGAACUCCGCAGGGCAGUGUGCCGGAUAACGUCCGGGACGUCAGGUUCAAGCCUGAUGGACGGAAAGUGCCACAGAAAACAUACCGCCUCGGCGGCAACGCCGGGGUAAGGGUGAAAAGGUGCGGUAAGAGCGCACCGCCGCGACAGUAAUGCCGCGGGCAGGGCAAACCCCACACGGAGCAAGACCAAAUAGGGAGGAAGGCCGCGGCUUCGGCUGCGGACACGUGCCGGCCCGGUGCGUUAAACCUUCGGGUAGGUCGCUAGAGCCGCGCAGUGAUGCGCGGCCCAGAGGAAUGGCCGUCCAGUGGGAGCAAUCCCGCGGACAGAAUUCGGCUUACAGGUCCGGCUGCCUU